rnacentral:misc_RNA from 1 species
CCACUCUAACUGAACUUCAUCUAAAAUAGGAAUUCUAUCUCAAUACUAAAUCUUACUCCAAAUAGGAAUAUCUCCAAUACCUAUAUAAGGAGUUCAAACCUUCACAGUUAGGUAUGUUGUUAUGUCUAAUCAAUUCUAUACUUUUCUCAAUUCGUAAGCCCAAGCGAACCUAACCAGUGUUUUCUCUCUUGUCUUACAAGUCUAUACCCGUAUGCAGGAAAUUUGAGAGAAUGACUAGGAUUAGUUUCAGGUCCAUUGCAAUUGGUAACCAUUCCAAAGUCAUCUUCGAGAGAAUGACUGUAGCCUGUAGCAACAAGUGGAACAUUUUGGCUGGGAUUGGAUACAAAUUUGAGCCAUGGACUAGCCACAAGUUUCCCCUGCUGAUGAUCCUAAUGAAGAUCCUGCUGCAUUGUUGGGCUCAUUUUUGCAAAGCCCACCACGCUUUGACAAAAGAGCACAACAAUAUCUAUUUUACUUGCUGAUGGCCUCUACUGGAAAACAAGGAUCCACAUUCUAACAGCACUUUUCUAUACUCUCCCGCACUUGAUCAUUUCAAAGAAUCAA